UACGGAGGGUGCGAGCGUUGUCCGGAUUUAUUGGGCGUAAAGAGCUCGUAGGCGGCUUGGCAAGUCGGGUGUGAAAACUCCAGGCUCAACCUGGAGAUGCCACUCGAGACUGCUAUGGCUAGAGUCCGGUAGGGGACCACGGAAUUCCUGGUGUAGCGGUGAAAUGCGCAGAUAUCAGGAGGAACACCGGUGGCGAAGGCGGUGGUCUGGGCCGGCACUGACGCUGAGGAGCGAAAGCGUGGGGAGCAAACAGG
rnacentral:rRNA from 1 species